rnacentral:rRNA from 1 species
AGUGAACGCUGGCGGUAGGCCUAACACAUGCAAGUCGAACGGCAGCACAGUAAGAGCUUGCUCUUACGGGUGGCGAGUGGCGGACGGGUGAGGAAUACAUCGGAAUCUACUUUUUCGUGGGGGAUAACGUAGGGAAACUUACGCUAAUACCGCAUACGACCUACGGGUGAAAGCAGGGGAUCUUCGGACCUUGCGCGAUUGAAUGAGCCGAUGUCGGAUUAGCUAGUUGGCGGGGUAAAGGCCCACCAAGGCGACGAUCCGUAGCUGGCGUGAGCGGAUGAUCAGCCACACUGGAGCUGAGACACGGUCCAGACUCCUACGGGAGGCAGCAGUGGGGAAUAUUGGACAAUGGGCGCAAGCCUGAUCCAGCCAUACCGCGUGGGUGAAGAAGGCCUUCGGGUUGUAAAGCCCUUUUGUUGGGAAAGAAAAGCAGCAGGUUAAUACCCCGCUGUUCUGACGGUACCCAAAGAAUAAGCACCGGCUAACUUCGUG